GAUGAACGCUGGCGGCGUGCUUAACACAUGCAAGUCGAACGAUGAAGCCCAGCUUGCUGGGUGGAUUAGUGGCGAACGGGUGAGUAACACGUGAGUAACCUGCCCUUAACUCUGGGAUAAGCCUGGGAAACUGGGUCUAAUACCGGAUAGGAGCGUCCACCGCAUGGUGGGUGUUGGAGAGAUUUAUCGGUUUUGGAUGGACUCGCGGCCUAUCAGCUUGUUGGUGAGGUAAUGGCUCACCAAGGCGACGACGGGUAGCCGGCCUGAGAGGGUGACCGGCCACACUGGGACUGAGAGACGGCCCAGACUCCUACGGGAGGCAGCAGUGGGGAAUAUUGCACAAUGGGCGAAAGCCUGAUGCAGAGACGCCGCGUGAGGGAUGACGGCCUUCGGGUUGUAAACCUCUUUCAGUAGGGAAGAAGCGAAAGUGACGGUACCUGCAGAAGAAGCACCGGCUAACUACGUG
rnacentral:rRNA from 1 species